CUGCCACUGCAGAGGACUCGAAUUAGGGAUGGAUAAAAUUCAAGGUUGCCCACUUGUCUCUGAAGUUCUGGCUUCGUUGGUUCUGUGAACCGUAGCAGUGCUGCUAAAGCAUUCUCCAAUAGAGAUUUAUCUACAAUAGCAGCAUUUCAUCAAUAAUGGUAUCAUCCUUUGGAAGCUGGCUAAUGAUGCCAGCAGCAAGACACCUUUCUUCAACAUCCGGGGAGUGGGUCAGGAUGGCUACCAAGGUAUUGACAGCAGCUCCUUUCCCAGGGGACGACGGCAGUGGAGCUCCAUCAGGAUGAUCGUCUGAGAUACAAUGUAUGAGCUUCAAUAUCCAUCUUUUCACCAGAGGCUCAUCACCAUCAAGUGAAGAAAAUAGCUCCUGAAGGCCCUGAUGCAUUUCGAAUUGAGGAAGCGGGCAGGCUUCAACCAAUAGAGCAAGGAUCUCACUAGCUUCUUGCUUCAAAUAUGGAUCUGGGCUGAAAAAUGAGAUGAGACCCAACAAAGCUGGUAUAGUUGUAGAAUCUGAUAAAAGCCACUUUGCCAUCUUGGGGUAUGCUAUUAGCUUUUUGAUGCAUUUGAGGCAAAUCAAUUUGUAUGCUGAGGAGCUUGAAGAGAGCAUCUGUAUUAGACUUUGAAUGAAUUGCCUGUCUUCCAAGUCCUUCAUUCCAUUUUCCUUGAUUUGCAUCUUCAACAAGUCAUCAACCAUCCAUGCUCUACUCUCUUGUGACCCUGUAGGAAGAGGACUUUUUUAGUGACUCAAGGUAUAGUGGCAGAAAAGUAUUAUGGUACAAUUUUUUUCUUUAUGCACCUUGAACGAAACGAGCUACAAAUGGUUGAAAAUAUCCAGCUUCAGCCAUUUUGACUACAAAGGAUGUGUUGGAAGAAAGAUUUUGUAACGUGUUCUUUGCUUUUUCUGAGAUGUCUGGGUUAUUGUUAUCAAGCAAAGAAACCAAAAGGGGAAUACAAUCUUUUGUAUUCCCAAUUUUUUCUCUAAGGGUUUCAUUGUUUGAUAAUUCCAACAGAAUUGUAAUUGCAUCAGGUAUUUUUUCACCUGUAUAGAUCUGCUUCACAAUUCGUCGAACCACCCCUGCUUCUAUAAAAGCUUCCUGCAACUCCACAAAACAGCAACUCUUAGACAUACACAAGUGAAAGUUGAAAUGAAUAGAUAGUCAACAACUAAGACUUGGUAGUCGUUACCUUGUGAGUAUCACAGUUUUUAGCGAGGAAAGAAAGACAUUUCAAGGUUGCCAUGGUGUUCAGCCUACUAUCUUUCAAGAAUUCCACUAACUUAGGAAUGAGUCCCUCCUCUGCAACUCUGAUUGCAUACUCGGGUAUUUCUGUCAAAAGCUGCAGAUCCUCUAAGCCUUUAUUUUGUCUAGAAUAAUCUUUAGAGCUGAUUGCAGAUAUUGCAGCUUGGAAUUUUAAGUCCAUGUCUCUUUGCUUCCACUCUUCUAUUGAGCUUCGAAGGUUGACAUUUGGCGUAAGCUCUAAAGAAAGUAGAUUCUCUCUGCAGGUAGGACAGUGUUUCUUUCCUCCAUUAAAGUGGUCCUGAAUUGCUUUUCUCUCAAAGCUGUGGCCGCAGAAAAUUGCAACAGGGUCUGCCAUUAUCUCAUUGCAUAAAGGGCAUACGAAUGAAGUGAUUGGGUGCUGCUGUUGGUGUGUAGGAAUGUCCUCAUUCUGUGGCCUUGCAACAAUUUCUGUACUGUACAACAACUGUGUCAAUUGAGAGAGUUGAAUUGCCUCUGCCUGCUUCUUUUGAUCUUCCAUCUCUUCUUUUUCCUGUUUCAGAAGAGCCAGCUCUUUUUGCACCAGGGAUGCGUUUGCACUAGCACCAACAGCUUCUGCAAUCUUUUCCAGGAGCUUUACUGCAUUCUCUUGGUUCUUGUUAUUUUGGGAUAUGGAAUUCUCUAUCUCAAAAGCAAUUGUUUCUGUUGCAGCUGCAGAUCGGAGUUCCAUAGUCAUCAGAUUGUUGAUGAUCUGCUCAGUCAUGGUUUUCAAGUCCAGUGCCAUAUCAAGAUUGACUAACUGAAACGAGGAAAUGGUUUUGGCAAUUUCCUUGGCUAAUUCUUGCAUCUGCAAUAGGAUUGAGUGUGAAUGAAGUAAAAACCAGAAAAGGCUUCCAGAUUUACAAUCUUUGAUGAUCUUGCGAGCUUUCCUCAGCUGACCAUUUAAGGUCUCUAAAAUAGAUUUUGUAAAUUCUGAACCCAUGGCAGCUUCAACUUUUUUGGCAUCCAAAGCUUGGAGGAGAGUGCUUAGCUCAGAGAUGCUCCUGGAGAAUUCCUUGAAAGUGUCUCUUUCAAGAACCAUAUCCCUCAUUUCACUAACAAGAUCCACUGCUUGAAAUGCCACAUAGUUCCACAAUUCCUGCAAUACUGCCACCCCUAUAUCCUCAAUACCAAUAUUGAAAUUCAUCGAAUCCAUUUGAAGUUGCUGAUAUUUUGGAAACAGUUGAAAGUUUGAUAUAAUCUCCCACCAGGUCAGUAAAUUCAAUCGAUAGCUUCAGGCUUCUUCAUGGGCACGAGACCUGAAAUGAACAAAAGGAAAGGUGCAAUUCAGAAUAUGAAGGUGCAGAACAAAAACACAGACAUAGAUAGGUCUUCUCCCAUAGGGACUCCACUCCACAUGAGAGGGCAAGUGAUGUAUCCAACAACUUCGGGUGUAGGUCUUACCAUGCGAGCAAAUUGUGCAAGUUCAGUAAUUUUGCGCAGUCACAGCCCCUAGUAGGUAAUACUGUGGUUGAAAUAUAAGAAAGAGUUAUAUGUGAAACAAUUUUCCCUAGCAUUAUGCGGCUAUUGUUAGUACUUGAAGAAUAACUACACCCCAAUCUGUGUAUAUGUUAUUGUACGAUCAUUAGGAU